AAUGUCAUUUCAUUUUUUUUAUAUAGAUAAUGAUACCUAUUUAUAUCAUCAAUUGGAGUCACUAAAUGUUAAUGAUGUUGGAACCUUUCUAGAGUGGUGGGUGAUGUAGAACAGAGCUCAUUAGAAUUCAGUGUGCGGGAAAUUCAAGAAGUAGAAAAGUACUAUUAGAAGUCGUUGGAGGUCACGGCAAAAUUGCGUGAAAUUUGGUGACAUGAAGGGAAAUGGUGUUAGGAGUAAAACUCAUAGCCUUUGGCCAUGAUCAAACAUGCUUUUCGGUGGGGCAGCUUCAAAUCUUUUCAAGAAAUGAAACCCAAGAACAAGAAUGCACUACCUUCCUGUAAAGAAAGAUUACAGACAAAAGAUUGGUCAUAAUCCAGAAAUCACAAAAGGUGGACUUACAAAUUGAUUCCAGUACUUUUUAUUCCUAAACUCACUAAGAAUUUGGAAAAUUGACUGCAAUAGAGAGUGUUGAUGACCUUGUUCGUGUUAUAUGGAAUUCUUCAGAAUCAUGAUGUCCGACAUUUCAGGCUACACACAAAUCAAACAUUAUGUGUGCCUAAGCUCAAGUUGCUGCCUCAUCUACUUCAACAAUCGCAAGUAAGAUAUUUUGAAAUCAAAAAGAGUAAACAAGAGUGGAUGACUUUCCACUAUAGUUGCAGAACCUUUAUUUAGUUGAUGAGAUGUCUAUAAACAAUUGCAAGAAGUUGAGAUAUCUACCAACAUGGGUGUGGUGCCUUACUAAAUAACAGAUGAUGCCAUGCUGGUUAGCUGGAACCAUGACUUGAAUGUACCUGCAAGUGUCAAUUGGGUGUAUUAGGUAUCACUUCAACAAUGAAUCAAGAUUCCUGACAAUUUGUCCGCUGUUCAAAUCCUAUGUUUUGGUUUCCUAACUUAAAGUCUCUGUUGCAGUGACUUCAGCAGUUUUCUAGAUUAUGAGUCUUCUCUUAUUGUCAGUCUUUUUGUCUUAACUACGAGGCCAACCUGUUUGGGUGCUCCACUUCAUAUCCCUAUAUGGAGGGUAAUAGCCUACAGAUUGCAGACAAGGCAAUGGACAGAAGUCUCUGUCUGAAAAGUUGACAGUUCUUUACUUAAAUGGGUAAAUAUGAAGUCCACUUCCAGAAGGGAAUAGUUAAAAGCGCUGGAUACUCACUCUUUAGUGCCAUUCUAGUUUUCGAUUCCUUGGGCUGGUAUCUUGGAAAACAUCAAAAGGUAAUGCCAAUUGCAUCAGAAUGUGAAGUGUGCUGUUCAGCAGAGACAUCAUUGCUGCCUGUAUUUAAGACUCCAAUCUUGAUAAUAGGUGACCUCAUCUGCCGCAACAAUAGAAUGUCUUCUCUAAGAACUGACUUUAUAUACUGAAGCCAAAGCAAGGGAGAUAUGGCAAGCUACUAUGAUCCAUAUUGCCCAAGAAGGUGGCUGCUUUGUUCUAUCUUCAAA